GCGGAGGAAAAGAAAAUAACAAUGAUUUCCCUAGUAACGGCGAGUGAAGAGGAAAGAGCUCAAAGUUGGAACCUGUUUGGCUUAGCUAAACCGGAUUGUAAACUGUAGAAACGUUUUCCUGAUACGCCAGACAAAUAAGUCCUUUGGAACAGGGCAUCAUAGAGGGUGAGAAUCCCGUCUUUGGUCUGAGCUGUUGUCUUUUGUGAUACGUUUUCAAAGAGUCAGGUUGUUUGGGAAUGCAGCCUAAAUUGGGUGGUAAAUCUCACCUAAAGCUAAAUAUUUGCGAGAGACCGAUAGCGAACAAGUACCGUGAGGGAAAGAUGAAAAGAACUUUGAAAAGAGAGUUAAACAGUAUGUGAAAUUGUUAAAAGGGAACCGUUUGGAGCCAGACUGGCUUGAUCGUAAUCAAUCUAGGUUUCGACCUGGAUGCACUUGCGGUCUAUGCCUGCCAACGACAGUUCUUUCUGAAGGAUAAAACUAGGAGGAAUGUGGCCCCUCGGGGUGUUAUAGCCUUUUAGAUAAUACUUUGGAUGGGACUGAGGAACGCAGUGAAUGCUUAUGGCGAGAUUGCUAGGCGCUUUUGUUAAUAAAUGUCAGAAUUUCUGCUUCGGGUGGUGCUGAUGUUUAAAGAUGGAACCCGUUUGGUUAAUUUUCUAUUCACUUAGGUUGUUGGCUUAAUGACUCUAAUGAC
rnacentral:rRNA from 1 species